GACGAACGCUGGCGGCGUGCUUAACACAUGCAAGUCGUACGGUAAGGCCCUUUCGGGGGUACACGAGUGGCGAACGGGUGAGUAACACGUGAGUAACCUGCCCACAACUUUGGGAUAACGCUAGGAAACUGGUGCUAAUACUGGAUAUGUGCUCCUGCUGCAUGGUGGGGGUUGGAAAGCUCCGGCGGUUGUGGAUGGACUCGCGGCCUAUCAGCUUGUUGGUGGGGUAGUGGCCUACCAAGGCGGCGACGGGUAGCCGGCCUGAGAGGGUGACCGGCCACAUUGGGACUGAGAUACGGCCCAGACUCCUACGGGAGGCAGCAGUGGGGAAUAUUGCACAAUGGGCGCAAGCCUGAUGCAGCAACGCCGCGUGCGGGAUGACGGCCUUCGGGUUGUAAACCGCUUUCAGCAGGGACGAAGCUUUUUGUGACGGUACCUGCAGAAGAAGCACCGGCUAACUACGUGCCAGCCGCCGCCGUAACAC
rnacentral:rRNA from 1 species